ACUUCAGCAAUCUUUGUAUAUACCUUUUAUUUCUUCAAAGCACUUUUUCUCUCCCUUUACCUACUAUGACUCUUAAGAGAGAUUCAUGUUUAGAUUUGACUCUCAACUUCGUUUUCUUUUCUUCUCCUUCUCAUGGAGAAAGGCUUUUCUUUCAUUUGCUGGAACUGAAAAGGAUGUGUUUUAAUCCUCACAUUUGUUUCAGUUUUCAUCGAUCUAGAGUUUCUAAAAGCACGAUUUUUUGCUGUUCUUUCUGGUCAAUUUUUCUUUUCAUAGGGAUAUUGGAUUUCCUUCUCUUUUUUUUUCUUUUGGUUCUCGAGGAAUGAGUUCCUCUGGGUAGAUAGAUUCCUUUCCUAAAGUGGCCUCGUGUACACCAAAACCAAACAUAAAUUUGCACAUAAAAUCUCUAUUUUCCUUCCACUUUCUUCUCUGUUUGAUUUUUUAUUUUUUAUUUUUUACUCUUCCCUUAAUCAGUCUUAUGUUUCAUGAUAUUCCCCUUUUUCAGUUUCUCCUUGGACAAUUUUCCGUUAGAUUUGCCUUUUCUUUGUGUAUCUUGUGCCAUAUAUUGAGCCAUAAUAAGUACUUUUUUUUAUGAGAGUGGACAAUAUGCUACAUAUAUAGUUUCUAUAUAUGUUACUUUGUGUUUAGGAGCUAUAGUUGCAUGGACAGAUAGAUUAACAGUCGUUAUUUGCGGAUGUAGCAUCAUCAAGAUUCACAUGCAAACGCAGGUGGUGGGUGGGACUUGAUGC
rnacentral:precursor_RNA from 1 species